rnacentral:rRNA from 2 species
ACUGUUUCGGCAAGGGGGUCAUCCCGACUUACCAACCCGAUGCAAACUGCGAAUACCGGAGAAUGUUAUUACGGGAGACACACGGCGGGUGCUAACGUCCGUCGUGAAGAGGGAAACAACCCAGACCGCCAGCUAAGGUCCCAAAGUCAUGGUUAAGUGGGAAACGAUGUGGGAAGGCCCAGACAGCCAGGAUGUUGGCUUAGAAGCAGCCAUCAUUUAAAGAAAGCGUAAUAGCUCACUGGUCGAGUCGGCCUGCGCGGAAGAUGUAACGGGGCUAAACCAUGCACCGAAGCUGCGGCAGCGACGCUUAUGCGUUGUUGGGUAGGGGAGCGUUCUGUAAGCCUGUGAAGGUGUGCUGUGAGGUAUGCUGGAGGUAUCAGAAGUGCGAAUGCUGACAUAAGUAACGAUAAAGCGGGUGAAAAGCCCGCUCGCCGGAAGACCAAGGGUUCCUGUCCAACGUUAAUCGGGGCAGGGUGAGUCGACCCCUAAGGCGAGGCCGAAAGGCGUAGUCGAUGGGAAACAGGUUAAUAUUCCUGUACUUGGUGUUACUGCGAAGGGGGGACGGAGAAGGCUAUGUUGGCCGGGCGACGGUUGUCCCGGUUUAAGCGUGUAGGCUGGUUUUCCAGGCAAAUCCGGAAAAUCAAGGCCGAGGCGUGAUGACGAGGCACUACGGUGCUGAAGCAACAAAUGCCCUGCUUCCAGGAAAAGCCUCUAAGCAUCAGGUAACAUCAAAUCGUACCCCAAACCGACACAGGUGGUCAGGUAGAGAAUACCAAGGCGCUUGAGAGAACUCGGGUGAAGGAACUAGGCAAAAUGGUGCCGUAACUUCGGGAGAAGGCACGCUGAUACGUAGGUGAAGCGACUUGCUCGUGGAGCUGAAAUCAGUCGAAGAUACCAGCUGGCUGCAACUGUUUAUUAAAAACACAGCACUGUGCAAACACGAAAGUGGACGUAUACGGUGUGACGCCUGCCCGGUGCCGGAAGGUUAAUUGAUGGGGUUAGCGCAAGCGAAGCUCUUGAUCGAAGCCCCGGUAAACGGCGGCCGUAACUAUAACGGUCCUAAGGUAGCGAAAUUCCUUGUCGGGUAAGUUCCGACCUGCACGAAUGGCGUAAUGAUGGCCAGGCUGUCUCCACCCGAGACUCAGUGAAAUUGAACUCGCUGUGAAGAUGCAGUGUACCCGCGGCAAGACGGAAAGACCCCGUGAACCUUUACUAUAGCUUGACACUGAACAUUGAGCCUUGAUGUGUAGGAUAGGUGGGAGGCUUUGAAGUGUGGACGCCAGUCUGCAUGGAGCCGACCUUGAAAUACCACCCUUUAAUGUUUGAUGUUCUAACGUGGACCCGUGAUCCGGGUUGCGGACAGUGUCUGGUGGGUAGUUUGACUGGGGCGGUCUCCUCCUAAAGAGUAACGGAGGAGCACGAAGGUUGGCUAAUCCUGGUCGGACAUCAGGAGGUUAGUGCAAUGGCAUAAGCCAGCUUGACUGCGAGCGUGACGGCGCGAGCAGGUGCGAAAGCAGGUCAUAGUGAUCCGGUGGUUCUGAAUGGAAGGGCCAUCGCUCAACGGAUAAAAGGUACUCCGGGGAUAACAGGCUGAUACCGCCCAAGAGUUCAUAUCGACGGCGGUGUUUGGCACCUCGAUGUCGGCUCAUCACAUCCUGGGGCUGAAGUAGGUCCCAAGGGUAUGGCUGUUCGCCAUUUAAAGUGGUACGCGAGCUGGGUUUAGAACGUCGUGAGACAGUUCGGUCCCUAUCUGCCGUGGGCGCUGGAGAACUGAGGGGGGCUGCUCCUAGUACGAGAGGACCGGAGUGGACGCAUCACUGGUGUUCGGGUUGUCAUGCCAAUGGCACUGCCCGGUAGCUAAAUGCGGAAGAGAUAAGUGCUGAAAGCAUCUAAGCACGAAACUUGCCCCGAGAUGAGUUCUCCCUGACCCUUUAAGGGUCCUGAAGGAACGUUGAAGACGACGACGUUGAUAGGCCGGGUGUGUAAGCGCAGCGAUGCGUUGAGCUAACCGGUACUAAUGAACCGUGAGGCUUAACCUUACAACGCCGAAG